AGUGAACGCUGGCGGUAGGCCUAACACAUGCAAGUCGAACGGCAGCACAGGAGAGCUUGCUCUCUGGGUGGCGAGUGGCGGACGGGUGAGGAAUACAUCGGAAUCUACCUUUUCGUGGGGGAUAACGUAGGGAAACUUACGCUAAUACCGCAUACGACCUUCGGGUGAAAGCAGGGGACCUUCGGGCCUUGCGCGGAUAGAUGAGCCGAUGUCGGAUUAGCUAGUUGGCGGGGUAAAGGCCCACCAAGGCGACGAUCCGUAGCUGGUCUGAGAGGAUGAUCAGCCACACUGGAACUGAGACACGGUCCAGACUCCUACGGGAGGCAGCAGUGGGGAAUAUUGGACAAUGGGCGCAAGCCUGAUCCAGCCAUACCGCGUGGGUGAAGAAGGCCUUCGGGUUGUAAAGCCCUUUUGUUGGGAAAGAAAAGCAGUCGGCUAAUACCCGAUUGUUCUGACGGUACCCAAAGAAUAAGCACCGGCUAACUUCGUGCCAGCCGCCGCCGUAAAAC
rnacentral:rRNA from 1 species